AGCGAACGCUGGCGGCAGGCUUAACACAUGCAAGUCGAGCGCCGUAGCAAUACGGAGCGGCAGACGGGUGAGUAACGCGUGGGAACGUGCCUUUUGGUUCGGAACAACACAGGGAAACUUGUGCUAAUACCGGAUAAGCCCUUACGGGGAAAGAUUUAUCGCCAAAAGAUCGGCCCGCGUCUGAUUAGCUAGUUGGUGAGGUAACGGCUCACCAAGGCGACGAUCAGUAGCUGGCUGAGAGGAUGAUCAGCCACACUGGGACUGAGACACGGCCCAGACUCCUACGGGAGGCAGCAGUGGGAAUAUUGGACAAUGGGCGCAAGCCUGAUCCAGCCAUGCCGCGUGAGUGAUGAAGGCCCUAGGGUUGUAAAGCUCUUUUGUGCGGGAAGAUAAUGACGGUACCGCAAGAAUAACGCCCCGGCUAACUUCGUGCCAGCAGCCGCAGUAAG
rnacentral:rRNA from 1 species